GACGAACGCUGGCGGCGUGCUUAACACAUGCAAGUCGAACGGAAAGGCCCUGCUUUUGUGGGGUGCUCGAGUGGCGCAAGGGUGAGUAUCACGUGAGUAAACUGUCCUUUAUUUUGGGAUAACUUCAGGAAAAUGGGGAUCUUACAGGACAUAACAUCCUGUUGCAUGGUGGGGGUUGGAAAGUUUCGCAGGUUGGGGAAGGCAUCGUGGAUUAUCAGCUUGUUGGUGGGGUAGUGUCUUACUAAGGCUUCGACGGGUAGCCGGCCUGAGAGGGUGACCGGCCACAUUGGGACUGGGGUACGACCCAGACUCCUACGUGAGGCAGCAGUGGGGAAUAGUGCACGAUGGGCGGAAGCCUGAUGCAGCAACGCCGCGUCCGGAAGGUCGGCCUUCGGGUUGUAAACCGCUUUCGCGUGGAACGAAGCGUGAGUGACGGUAGUGUAUAAAAAAGCACCGGCUAACUACGUG
rnacentral:rRNA from 1 species